rnacentral:tRNA from 1 species
GUGCUGGUGGUUCAGUGGUAGAAUUCUCCCCUUCCAUGGGGAAGAUCCUGGUUUGAUUCCCAGCUAACAUA